GAGAAGGUAACAAAAUAUUUCAGAAUCUUAUGAUUAUAUUUGACAUCCUGGUUAUCUUGAUUUGUACCCUUUCAAUUUUGCUUUGUAUUCGAUCUCUUACAAAAUCUAUGAUGCUGGCAGAAGCUGCUCAAAAGUACUUUGCUACUUACAAGAAUGAAAAGCUUACCAAAUGGGAUUUGCUGGAAUUUAUUAACAAGUGGUUUGCAGUUAUUGUUAUUAGCGAUUUGUUUUCUAUUAUUGGCUUUACUACCUAUAUAAUUCAUUUUGAUGAAAGAGAUAUUCAUUUUUACAAUAUUUGCAGUGUGCUGCUAGGUCUUGGAGUGGUGCUAGCUUGUAUUGGCAUGUUGCGCUUUUUUACCUAUUUGAAAUCU
rnacentral:lncRNA from 1 species